rnacentral:rRNA from 1 species
AGAGUUUGAUCCUGGCUCAGGACAAACGCUGGCGGCGUGCGUAACACAUGCAAGUCGAGCGGGCGAGCUUCGGCUCGUCAGCGGCGGACGGGUGAGUAACACGUGAGUCACCAACCUCCAGUGGGGGAUACCCGGCGGAAACGCUGGUUAAUCCCGCAUACGCUUCUUUUGAAGGAAAGCCGUAAGGCGCUGGUGGACGG